rnacentral:rRNA from 1 species
UACGUAGGGUGCGAGCGUUAAUCGGAAUUACUGGGCGUAAAGCGUGCGCAGGCGGUGCUGUAAGACCGAUGUGAAAUCCCCGGGCUUAACCUGGGAACUGCAUUGGUGACUGCAGCGCUGGAGUAUGGCAGAGGGGGGUGGAAUUCCACGUGUAGCGGUGAAAUGCGUAGAGAUGUGGAGGAACACCGAUGGCGAAGGCAGCCUUCUGGGCCAAUACUGACGCUCAUGCACGAAAGCGUGGGGAGCAAACAGG